UACGUAGGGUGCAAGCGUUGUCCGGAAUUAUUGGGCGUAAAGAGCUCGUAGGCGGUCUGUUACGUCGGCUGUGAAAACCUGGGGCUCAACUCCGGGCCUGCAGCCGAUACGGGCAGACUAGAGUUCGGCAGGGGAGACUGGAAUUCCUGGUGUAGCGGUGAAAUGCGCAGAUAUCAGGAGGAACACCGGUGGCGAAGGCGGCUCACUGGUCCGGUACUGACGCUGAGGUGCGAAAGCGUGGGGAGCGAACAGG
rnacentral:rRNA from 1 species